UACGUAGGUGGCAAGCGUUGUCCGGAAUUAUUGGGCGUAAAGCGCGCGCAGGCGGUCCUUUAAGUCUGAUGUGAAAGCCCACGGCUCAACCGUGGAGGGUCAUUGGAAACUGGGGGACUUGAGUACAGAAGAGAAGAGUGGAAUUCCACGUGUAGCGGUGAAAUGCGUAGAGAUGUGGAGGAACACCAGUGGCGAAGGCGACUCUUUGGUCUGUAACUGACGCUGAGGCGCGAAGGCUGGGGUAGCGAACAGG
rnacentral:rRNA from 1 species